AAAGGGGGGGAUCUUCGGACCUCUCACUUCUGGAUGGGCUCGCGGCCUAUCAGCUUGUUGGUGAGGUAACGGCUCACCAAGGCAACGACGGGUAACUGGUCUGAGAGGACGACCAGUCACACUGGAACUGAGACACGGUCCAGACACCUACGGGUGGCAGCAGUCGAGAAUCAUUCACAAUGGGCGAAAGCCUGAUGGUGCGACGCCGCGUGGAGGAUGACAGCCCUAGGGUUGUAAACUCCUGUCAUGAGAGAGUAAAGACUUAACGUUAACACCGU
rnacentral:rRNA from 1 species